AUUGAACGCUGGCGGCAGGCCUCACACAUGCAAGUCGAACGAGUGGCGGACGGGUGAGUAAUGUCUGGGAAACUGCCCGAUGGAGGGGGAUAACUACUGGAAACGGUAGCUAAUACCGCAUACCAUCGGAUGUGCCCAGAUGGGAUUAGCUAGUAGGUGGGGUAACUGCUCACCUAGGCGACGAUCCCUAGCUGGUCUGAGAGGAUGACCAGCAAAAAUGUAAAUGAGAAACGGUCCAGACUCCUACGGGAGGCAGCAGUGGGGAAUAUUGCACAAUGGGCGCAAGCAUGAUGCAGCCAUGCCGCGUGUAUGAAGAAGGCCUUCGGGUUGUAAAGUACUUUCAGCGAGGAGGCGUUACUCGCAGAAGAAGCACCGGCUAACUCCGUGCCAGCAGCCGCGGUAAUAC
rnacentral:rRNA from 1 species